GCCUGGGUGGCUUAGUCAGUUAAGCAACUGACUUCAGCUCAGGUCAUGAUCUCACAAUCUGUGGGUUCAAGCCCCGUGUCAGGCU
rfam:Felis catus isolate Cinnamon breed Abyssinian chromosome F2, whole genome shotgun sequence.